GGAUCAAGGACUUUCCUUUCACGGUGGCCCCUUCCCUGGGCUCUUAGCAUUUCUCAGGAUUUGGUGUCGGGCACCUCGCAUUCCCUUCCACUCAAGCUGCCCCACUGUUUCUCGGCCCAGGAGCAGGCAGGGUUGGGGGGCGCACUCUGGGACUUGGAGUGGGGGAAGCGGAACGCUCGGUGGGGCCCGAUCGGCCACCAGAGGGCGCUGCGGGGCCACCUGGGCUAGCGGCCCGCCAGGGCAUUUGUGUGUUGUUGAAAUGCCAGCGUUUGCUAUUAACAGCGUUCCUAACAGGGGAAGACCUCCUUGAGGAGGUGACGACACUGGGGACCUUAUGAGCCGGAAGAGGCAACAUGUGAAGAUCUGGGGACACACGCUCCAAGCAGAAGAAUAUGAGGGCAAAAAGCCUGAGGCAGGAGCGUGCUCUUUACAUUCAGGAGAUGCCACGGAGGCCACUGUGACUAGAACAAGGAAAACAGUGAUGCUUCAGGGAUGUGGUGGGAUCAAAGGAUCUGAGCGCUUCCGGACCAAGGAGCCGUGAGGUUGCGAAGGGUUAGCAACUGGACUGGAAUCCCGGCAGUCUGGCUCCCACCUUUGCUGCUAAACGGGAAGGUGGACUUUGGCACCGCGUGCAGGGCUGCAGACGUCAGUGCCAACUCGUCUCUGGUGCUGCUGCCAACCUGGCUUGGAUCAAGGCCUCUCCCUUGCGACCCUACCGCUUCCCAUCUUGGUUUCUGGCCGCCACUCUCUGAGACACAGUGUCUUGCUCUGGGCCUCUGUCACUGCUGGUGACAGCUGCCACUGCGGUGGUUGUCUUGGUAAUGAAUGGGCCCUCCCACUGUUGUAAAGAGCCAACUAUUCAGCUCCACAUGGAUGAUUGCUACCCAAACUAGAUGGCACAGUCUAGGGUGCUCUCAAGGAAGCUUUGCUGUUCAAGGGUAAAGAGAGGAGCCCGAAUGAAGUUCCACAGGGACAAAGGGAGUUGUCACCGGGCCUCCUGUGCACACUUGUGUAGACCCCCACGAUACAGACCCCACAAACAAAGAGCCCCUAAGUGAUUCAAAGAAGGGAUGUGUCAACUCUCCCUCACUUGAGGGCGAAUUCCCGGGCCCUUACGGUUAUGGCCCCUUAUCUCCUGUUUAAAGGAGUCCGUAGUAUAGGCUUUGGACUUAGACUAGGGUUUCAUACUGUGUCUGUUGUUCAUGAGCUUUGUGUCCCUGGGUAAAUAACCUUUUGCGAUUGCUAUGUAUCUUGGUUAGUUUCUUCCAUCCUUUUUUUUUUAAUUAUUUAUUUUUUUAUUUUUAUUUUUUGAGAUGGGGGUCUUAUUAGUAGUCUUGAACUCAGUAUGUAAGCCCAGGUAGUCCUCCUGUCUCUGCUCUUGAGUUCCGGGAUUACAGGUGUACACCGUUGUACCCAGAACUUUGGUUUCUCUGUACUACAUGAGAUAAGAAUAAUAAUAUCCACCUCAACAUCUUUAAUGAUGAUUCAGUGAGAUACUAUGUUAAAAAAUACAUAACAGAGUGCCUAGUGUAAAAAAAAUUCCAAUAAAUGAUGAUAAUCAUUUUCUUAGUGUCUGGGCCUGCAAAUAUUUACAAUUUUUUGAAAGGCUGGAGGAUGGCUUAUGGGAAUAGGGCUGGUUGUGACCUAUAGCUUAGUCUCACUGCCCUUUCAGGCCAGGCCCUGCCUGGA